GAUGAACGCUGGCGGCGUGCCUAAUACAUGCAGGUCGAGCGAACAGACGAGGAGCUUGCUCCUCUGACGUUAGCGGCGGACGGGUGAGUAACACGUGGAUAACCUACCUAUAAGACUGGGAUAACUUCGGGAAACCGGAGCUAAUACCGGAUAAUAUAUUGAACCGCAUGGUUCAAUAGUGAAAGACGGUUUUGCUGUCACUUAUAGAUGGAUCCGCGCCGCAUUAGCUAGUUGGUAAGGUAACGGCUCACCAAGGCAACGAUGCGUAGCCGACCUGAGAGGGUGAUCGGCCACACUGGAACUGAGACACGGUCCAGACUCCUACGGGAGGCAGCAGUAGGGAAUCUUCCGCAAUGGGCGAAAGCCUGACGGAGCAACGCCGCGUGAGUGAUGAAGGUCUUCGGAUCGUAAAACUCUGUUAUUAGGGAAGAACAAAUGUGUAAGUAACUAUGCACGUCUUGACGGUACCUAAUCAGAAAGCCACGGCUAACUACGUG
rnacentral:rRNA from 1 species